rnacentral:lncRNA from 1 species
CGCAGGCCCACAGCUCGAGCCUGUGACCUUGUUCUAUCCUCCAAAUACCUGUGGUCUUGGUGGCUUGAGGCUGCCUUAUUUGAUGCAUGUUUUUCCCCUUGAUGGUAAAGUGAUAAUCUUUUAGUUCUUAAGACUUCGGAAUUCUAGGGUUUUUUCACUCAAAACAGACCAUUUUGCCGCCACCUACUGGUCUGCUUAACGAGGACACAGCUCCCGGUGAAGACAGCCGGCUGCACAGAGCAGCCGAGGGGCCCUGGAACUGUUUCCCCGGGUGCCCAGUCAACCCCAUGAAGCUGAAGAUCAGCGCCAGGCAGCCUGUGGUUCCCGGGUACCGUGAAGCUGCUCCACGCCCACGCUGCAGUCCUGUGCACCUGGUCUCUCGAGGAGGAGAAAAGAGUCUGCCCACAGUUGUGAGGAGUAAGUUAAGUGGCAGAAGAUAGAAGUAAGAAGAGCCGAAGUCGCGUGGGCGGAAGCCCAGGACCCGGCUCUGCUGUGGAGGAACUGGCUGCUGCCUUCGCUGGCCUGUGCGCCCUCCUCCCGCCCCGGGGUAUACGGACCACCCGGCUUUGGGGAUAGGGUCUGGGGCAUCAGUGUCAGGCCAGAGCUCGAGUUCGAGUCCAAGCAGGCUGCUGGCUUGGCGGGCGCCCCUGGGCUUCACCUGCCAUCUGGGAGACGUAGAUGGAGACCUACCGCGCAGCGUUCCUAGGGCUCAGGGGACGACGCGCGUCGCGAGGCCCCGGGGCGCUCCCAAAUCGGGAGCCCUUCCGCAGGAGCACCGCCGUGGGCGCACCUGCUUUGCAGUGAUAAUGCGGCUCUAGGAGACCCUUUCACGAUCUGGUUACCACCGCCCCUGAGCCCAUCGGGAGCCCGGUUUGGGGCGCCGAUGUACCGCAGGCACAGACCCCCGCUGGACCGCCGAUCAUUCGCACACGCCCACUCGACAGGACCAGUCCUGCCGGAUCUCGGGUCCACCCGGUCUCCCUGCUCUCCGUGCUUCCGGGAUCGGCCCAGCCCCCCCACACACA